CAAUAAGCUACAUAAGAGCGUAUGGGGAAUGCCUAGGCUCUCAGAGGCGAUGAAGGACGUGAUAAGCUGCGAAAAGCUGCGGGGAUUGGCACAUACAAAUUGAUCCGCAGAUAUCCGAAUGGGGCAACCCAGCAUAUUGAAGAUAUGUUAUCCGAAAGGAGGCGAACCCGGAGAACUGAAACAUCUAAGUACCCGGAGGAGAAGAAAACAAAAGUGAUUCCGAUAGUAGCGGCGAGCGAACUCGGAUUAGCCCAAACCAGUGUUGUUACGGCAAUGCUGGGGUUGUAGGACCACGAUAUUUGAUGCGUAAUGAAUUAGAACACUUUGGAAAGAGUGACCAGAGAGGGUGAUAGUCCCGUAUAAGUAAAGAUCGUUAUUGAUAGUGGUAUCCUGAGUAGUGCGGGGCACGUGUAACCCUGUAUGAAUUUGGCGGGACCAUCCGUUAAGGCUAAAUACUCCUGAGAGACCGAUAGUGAACUAGUACCGUGAGGGAAAGGUGAAAAGAACCUUGAAUAAAGGAGUGAAAAAGAACCUGAAACCAUACGCUUACAAGCGGUCGGAGCCAGUAAUGGUGACGGCGUGCCUUUUGCAUAAUGAGCCUACGAGUUACCGUUGCUAGCAAGGUUAAGGACUUCAGGUCCGCAGCCGUAGCGAAAGCGAGUCUGAAUAGGGCGCUUUAGUUAGUAGUGGUAGACGCGAAACCGUGUGAUCUACCCAUGGGCAGGGUGAAGCUGUGGUAACACACAGUGGAGGCCCGAACCGCCAGACGUUGAAAAGUCUUCGGAUGAACUGUGGAUAGGGGUGAAAGGCCAAUCAAACUUGGAAAUAGCUCGUACUCCCUGAAAUAUAUUUAGGUAUAGCGUCUGGUUUUGUCUCUCCGGAGGUAGAGCACUGAUUAGGCUAGGGCCCUUCACCGGGUACCAACCCUAGACAAACUCCGAAUACCGGCAGAGAGCCACCAGGCAGUCAGUGGCGGGGUGAUAACGUCCCGUCGCGAGAGGGAAACAACCCAGACCACCAGCUAAGGCCCCCAAAUGUAUGUUAAGUUGAACAAAGAAAGUUGGGUUGCCCAGACAACUAGGAGGUUGGCUUAGAAGCAGCCAUUCCUUUAAAGAGUGCGUAAUAGCUCACU
rnacentral:rRNA from 1 species